GUACUCGUAGCCGCCAGGUACCCGGAUAAUGGGCUUUUAACAGCCUCAUCCUCACCACAAACAUGCCUCUUACAUUCUCGUUUGUCCUCCUAGUACCUCAUACACAAACUGCCCCACGCUGUUGAGGCUACAUUCUUUCU